GGAACUGUGCCUGAACUAAAGGGUUACUUUGAUAUAAUAAACAAUAGAGGUUACAGUCCUCUCAGCUCCA
rnacentral:tRNA from 1 species